CCCCAGGUCCGAAGGGCGCCGACGCGCGAACCGCGUCAGGGCCUCGCCGGCAGCAGCGCUAAGCGAUGCUCGGUGUCGCUUCGGGAAGCCUGGGGCAC
rnacentral:SRP_RNA from 1 species